CAUCGCUCAACGGAUAAAAGGUACUCUGGGGAUAACAGGCUGAUACCGUCCAAGAGUCCAUAUCGACGACGGUGUUUGGCACCUCGAUGUCGGCUCAUCACAUCCUGGGGCUGUAGCAGGUCCCAAGGGUUUGGCUGUUCGCCAAUUAAAGUGGUACGCGAGCUGGGUUCAAAACGUCGUGAGACAGUUUGGUCCCUAUCUGCCAUGGGCGUUGGAAAUUUGAGGGGAGCUGCUCCUAGUACGAGAGGACCGGAGUGGACGUACCUCUGGUGUACCGGUUGUCACGCCAGUGGCAUUGCCGGGUAGCUAUGUACGGACGGGAUAAGCGCUGAAAGCAUCUAAGCGCGAAGCCCACCCCAAGAUUAGAUUUCCCCGGGCACUUGAUGCCCCUGAAGGUCCGUCGAAGACUACGACGUUGAUAGGCUGGGUGUGUAAGCGCGGUAACGCGUUGAGCUAACCAGUACUAAUUGACCGUGCGGCUUGGCCAU
rnacentral:rRNA from 1 species